rnacentral:rRNA from 1 species
AUUGAACGCUGGCGGCAGGCUUAACACAUGCAAGUCGAGCGGAGAUGAGGUGCUUGCACCUUAUCUUAGCGGCGGACGGGUGAGUAAUGCUUAGGAAUCUGCCAUUUAGUGGGGGACAACAUUCCGAAAGGAAUGCUAAUACCGCAUACGUCCUACGGGAGAAAGCAGGGGAUCUUCGGACCUUGCGCUAAAUGAUGAGCCUAAGUCGGAUUAGCUAGUUGGUGGGGUAAAGGCCUACCAAGGCGACGAUCUGUAGCGGGUCCGCGAGGAUGAUCCGCCACACUGGGACUGAGACACGGCCCGGACUCCUACGGGAGGCAGCAGUGGGGAAUAUUGGACAAUGGGCGGAAGCCUGAUCCAGCCAUGCCGCGUGUGUGAAGAAGGCCUUUUGGUUGUAAAGCACUUUAAGCGAGGAGGAGGCUACUAGUACUAAUACUACUGGAUAGUGGACGUUACUCGCAGAAUAAGCACCGGCUAACUCUGUGCCAGCCGCCGCCGUAAUAC